GACAGAGGUGCCGAGCGUUAGGCGGAAUCACUGGGCUUAAAGCGUGUGUAGGCGGAUCUGUAAGUACCUUGUGAAAUCCCACGGCUCAACCGUGGAACUGCUUGGUAUACUGCGGGUCUUGAGCCACCUAGGGGCAAGUGGAACAAACGGUGGAGCGGUGAAAUGCGUAGAUAUUCGCAAGAACACCAGUGGCGAAGGCGGCUCACUGGCCCGAUACUGACGCUGAGGCACGAAAGCGUGGGGAGCAAACAGG
rnacentral:rRNA from 1 species